AUAUUUGUAAACCACUUUAUGCAGAGUGGCGUCAAUGUUUAUUUUAAUUCUUUAUGUUCUCAAAUUGAAUCGACUAGUCCGGGAUACAAAAUUGCUUCACUAUUGUAAUCUUCAAGCACAACACAACCUCCCAUUAAAUCUGAGGCAGAUCAAUUUAGAAUACCUUAUGUAUACACAAUGCAUUUAUUUGUGGGAUAAAUAAGAUCGAGAGAUAGAGACUUUUGGAAGAACAUGUUGGCGGAUAAUGUAGCAAUGACCUUCACGUGUAGUAUAUAAAUAUCAUCGAAUUUGUUAUAAUCUGCAGUAUAUUGAAUAACUACUAUAAUGAAAUACUUUACAAUCUUCGCAGUUCUGGUGUUCGCCAUUUUGUCGAUGGCGGCUGCGAGGCUGAAUGCGCAUGAUUUACUGUUGAGAGUCACCCGCGGGAUACCGGGGCAACACCACCGCCACGGCUACGGCUACGGCGGGGGCAAUAGAGAGCAGAAUGGACAGCCAAAAAAAUGGAGACAUGCUACGUAAUUCGUAACAUUAUGUAGUAUAAGUAUUUAAUAUAUUAUUUUUAAGAAUUUUAUAUUUUUUUGUUUAUUUGUUUAAUAAAUAGUUUUGUUUUGUAA